rnacentral:rRNA from 1 species
GUGAGGAAUAUUGGGCAAUGGGCGAAAGCCUGAUCCAGCCAUGCCGCGUGUGUGAAGAAGGUCUUCGGAUUGUAAAGCACUUUAAGUUGGGAGGAAGGGUAGUAACCUAAUACGUUGCUACUUUGACGUUACCGACAGAAUAAGCACCGGCUAACUUCGUGCCAGCAGCCGCGGUAAUACGAAGGGUGCAAGCGUUAAUCGGAAUUACUGGGCGUAAAGCGCGCGUAGGUGGUUUUGUAAGUUGGAGGUGAAAUCCCCGGGCUCAACCUGGGAACUGCAUCCAAAACUGCAUGACUAGAGUACGGUAGAGGGUAGUGGAAUUUCCUGUGUAGCGGUGAAAUGCGUAGAUAUAGGAAGGAACACCAGUGGCGAAGGCGACUACCUGGACUGAUACUGACACUGAGGUGCGAAAGCGUGGGGAGCAAACAGGAUUAGAUACCCUUGUAGUCC